UACACAUGCAAGUCGAACGGCAGCACGGGUGCUUGCACCUGGUGGCGAGUGGCGAACGGGUGAGUAAUACAUCGGAACAUGUCCUGUAGUGGGGGAUAGCCCGGCGAAAGCCGGAUUAAUACCGCGUACGAUCUACGGAUGAAAGCGGGGGGCCUUCGGGCCUCGCGCUAUAGGGUUGGCCGAUGGCUGAUUAGCUAGUUGGUGGGGUAAAGGCCUACCAAGGCGACGAUCAGUAGCUGGUCUGAGAGGACGACCAGCCACACUGGGACUGAGACACGGCCCAGACUCCUACGGGAGGCAGCAGUGGGGAAUUUUGGACAAUGGGCGAAAGCCUGAUCCAGCAAUGCCGCGUGUGUGAAGAAGGCCUUCGGGUUGUAAAGCACUUUUGUCCGGAAAGAAAUCCUUGGUUCUAAUAUAGCCGGGGGAUGACGGUACCGGAAGAAUAAGCACCGGCUAACUACGUGCCGGCAGCCGCGGUAAUACGUAGGGUGCGAGCGUUAAUCGGAAUUACUGGGCGUAAAGCGUGCGCAGGCGGUUUGCUAAGACCGAUGUGAAAUCCCCGGGCUCAACCUGGGAACUGCAUUGGUGACUGGCAGGCUAGAGUAUGGCAGAGGGGGGUAGAAUUCCACGUGUAGCAGUGAAAUGCGUAGAGAUGUGGAGGAAUACCGAUGGCGAAGGC
rnacentral:rRNA from 1 species